GAUGAAGAACGUAGCGAAAUGCGAUAAGUAAUGUGAAUUGCAGAAUUCAGUGAAUCAUCGAAUCUUUGAACGCACCUUGCGCCCUCUGGUAUUCCGGAGGGCAUGCCUGUCCGAGCGUCAUUGCUGCCCUCAAGCACGGCUUGUGUGUUGGGCCCCGCCCCCCGAUCCCGGGGGGCGGGCCCGAAAGGCAGCGGCGGCACCGCGUCCGGUCCUCGAGCGUAUGGGGCUUUGUCACCCGCUCUGUAGGCCCGGCCGGCGCCUGCCGAUCAACCAAACUUUUUUCCAGGUUGACCUCGGAUCAGGUAGGGAUACCCGCUGAACUUAAGCAUAUCAAUAAGCGGAGGA
rnacentral:misc_RNA from 1 species